rnacentral:rRNA from 1 species
UACGUAGGGGGCAAGCGUUGUCCGGAUUUAUUGGGCGUAAAGAGCGUGUAGGCGGCUGGGUAGGUCCGCUGUGAAAACUCGAGGCUUAACCUCGAGACGUCGGUGGAAACCAUCCAGCUAGAGUCCGGAAGAGGAGAGUGGAAUUCCUGGUGUAGCGGUGAAAUGCGCAGAUAUCGGGAAGAACACCCGUGGCGAAGGCGGUUCUCUGGGACGGUACUGACGCUGAGACUCGAAAGCGUGGGGAGCGAACAGG